GUAGGGAAUAUUGGUCAAUGGACGAAAGUCUGAACCAGCCAUUCCGCGUGCAGGAAGAAGAUUCUAUGGAUUGUAAACUGCUUUUAGCAGAGAAGAAACGCCUUCAUUGAUGAGGGUUUGACGGUAUCUGCGGAAUAAGCACCGGCUAACUCCGUGCCAGCAGCCGCGGUAAUACGGGGGGUGCAAGCGUUAUCCGGAAUCACUGGGUUUAAAGGGUGCGUAGGCGGGAAAUUAAGUCAGUGGUGAAAGUCUGUUGCUUAACGAUAGAAUAGCCGUUGAUACUGAUUUUCUUGAAUUGGGUGGAGGUUAGCGGAAUGUGACAUGUAGCGGUGAAAUGCAUAGAUAUGUCAUGGAACACCAAUUGCGAAGGCAGCUAGCUUGGCCUUGAUUGACGCUGAGGCACGAAAGCGUGGGUAGCGAACAGGAUUAGAUACCCUGGUAGUCC
rnacentral:rRNA from 1 species